GUGCCAGCCGCCGCGGUAAUACGUAGGGUGCGAGCGUUGUCCGGAAUUACUGGGCGUAAAGAGCUCGUAGGUGGUUUGUCGCGUUGUCCGUGAAAACUCACAACUCAAUUGUGGGCGUGCGGGCGAUACGGGCAGACUGGAGUACUGCAGGGGAGACUGGAAUUCCUGGUGUAGCGGUGGAAUGCGCAGAUAUCAGGAGGAACACCGGUGGCGAAGGCGGGUCUCUGGGCAGUAACUGACGCUGAGGAGCGAAAGCGUGGGGAGCGAACAGGAUUAGAUACCCUGGUAGUCC
rnacentral:rRNA from 1 species